rnacentral:snoRNA from 1 species
UUAUAAAUAAAGUUUUAUUGGUGCAUGAUGUUGCAGAAGUGAAGGGAACCAGGUUUGCUAAAGUAAUUUUGGUGAUAGAAAUGUAUUAGCCUCAGAAGCUACUGAGGUGGUUCAUUCUAUCCUAGUACAGUG